AUACUUAGGGUGCGAGCGUUAAUCGGAAUUACUGGGCGUAAAGCGAGUGUAGGCGGCUAUAUAAGUCGGAUGUGAAAGCCCCGGGCUCAACCUGGGAAUUGCAUUCGAAACUGUAUAGCUAGAGGUUGGUAGAGGUAAGUGGAAUUCAGGGUGUAGCGGUGAAAUGCGUAGAUAUCCUGAGGGACAUCAGUGGCGAAGGCGGCUUACUGGACCAAAACUGACGCUGAGGCUCGAAAGCGUGGGGAGCAAACAGGAUUAGAUACCCCAGUAGUCC
rnacentral:rRNA from 1 species